rnacentral:tRNA from 1 species
UCCCCUGAUAGCUCAGCUGGAAGAGCGCAAGACUGUAAUUGAUCUGUUCUUCAGAGAACCUGUAAUCUUGAGGUCCCUGGUUCGAUCCCGGGUCAGGGGAUC